UUUUUAAAAUAUAUGCUUUAUCACUUUGCUCACUUUACACACAUGACUUCUUCUAUUAGAGAAACGAGAAAGCAAAAUACUAGAAUUCCCAGACUCCCUUACAGCUAAGGGUCGUCAGGUGACACAUUUCGGCCAAUGAAAUGUAGGUGGAAGUGCUUGGCGAUUGCUUUCUUCAGAAUUAAAAACCAAAAAAGGGCUUCUUCUCUGAAAAAACACCAAAUGGCGGAUGACGCCGGUGCAGCAGGGGGGCCCGGAGGCCCUGGUGGCCCUGGGAUGGAGAACCGCGGUGGCUUCCGUGGAGGUUUCGGCAGUGGCAUCCGGGGCCGGGGUCACGGCGGUGGACUGGACCGGGGCCGAGGCCACGGAGCUAGCGGAGGCAAGGCCGAGGAUAAGGAGUGGAUUCUUGUCACCAAGCUGGGCCGCCUGGUCAAGGACAUGAAGAUCAAGUCACUGGAGAAAAUCUAUCUCUUCUCCCUGCCCAUUAAGGAAUCUGAGCUCAUUGACUUUUUCCUGGGGGCCUCUCUCAAGGAGGAGGUUUUGAAGAUUAUGCCGGUGCAGAAGCAGACCCGUGCUGGCCAGUGCACCAGGUUCAAGGCGUUUGUUGCCAUGGGGGACUACAAUGGCCACGUCGGUGUGGGUGUUAAGUGCUCCAAGGAGGUGGCCACCGCCAUCCGUGGGGCCAUGAUCCUGGCCAAGCUCUCCACUGUCCUCCUGCGCAGAGGCUACUGGGGGAACAAGAUCGGCAAGCCCCACACCGUCCCUUGCAAGGUACAGGCCGCUGCAGCUCUGUGCUGGUGUGCCUCAUCCCUGCACCCAGGGGCACUGGCGUCGUCUCAGUGCCUGUGCCCAAGAAGCUGCUCAUGAUGGCUGGUAUCGAUGACUGCUACACCUCAGCCCGGGGCUGCACUGCCACCCUGGGCAACUUUGCCAAGGCCACCUUUGAUGCCAUCUCUAAGACCUACAGCUACCUGGCCCCCAGCUUCCGGAAGGAGACUAUUUACCAAGUCUCCCUAUCAGGAAUUCACUGACCACCUCGUCAAGACCCACACCAGAGUCUCCGUGCAGCGGACCCAGACUCCAGCUGUGGCUACAACAUAGGGUUUUUACACAAGAAAAAUAAAGUGAAUUAAGCCUGAAGAAAAAAAAAAAAAAGGCCAAGCAGUAUGAGGAAAGGCUGUGAUUUUUUUUACCCGCUGCCUUCCGCCAUUUCCUUGGGUAGAAUGGACACAUUGUAGGAAGUGACAUUAAGUUGAGAGCUGAGGG